GACGAACGCUGGCGGCGUGCUUAACACAUGCAAGUCGAACGGAAAGGCCCUGCUUUUGUGGGGUGCUCGAGUGGCGAACGGGUGAGUAACACGUGAGUAACCUGCCCUUGACUUUGGGAUAACUUCAGGAAACUGGGGCUAAUACCGGAUAGGAGCUCCUGCUGCAUGGUGGGGGUUGGAAAGUUUCGGCGGUUGGGGAUGGACUCGCGGCUUAUCAGCUUGUUGGUGGGGUAGUGGCUUACCAAGGCUUUGACGGGUAGCCGGCCUGGGAGGGUGACCGGCCACAUGGGGACUGAGAUACGGCCCAGAAUCCUACGGGAGGCAGCAGUGGGGAAUAUUGCACAAUGGGCGGAAGCCUGAUGCAGCAACGCCGCGUGCGGGAUGACGGCCUUCGGGUUGUAAACCGCUUUCGCCUGUGACGAAGCGUGAGUGACGGUAAUGGGUAAAGAAGCACCGGCUAACUACGUG
rnacentral:rRNA from 1 species